UACGAAGGGGGCUAGCGUUGCUCGGAAUUACUGGGCGUAAAGCGCACGUAGGCGGCUUCUUAAGUCGGUGGUGAAAUCCUGGAGCUCAACUCCAGAACUGCCUUCGAUACUGGGAGCUCGAGUCCGGGAGAGGUGAGUGGAACUGCGAGUGUAGAGGUGAAAUUCGUAGAAUAUUCGCAAGAACACCAGUGGCGAAGGCGGCUCACUGGCCCGGUACUGACGCUGAGGUGCGAAAGCGUGGGGAGCAAACAGGGAUUAA
rnacentral:rRNA from 1 species